UGGCAGUCUUUCUCUCUCCUCUCGAACUCUCCUCCCUUUCUCUCUCCUCUCGUUCUCUCGACCUCCAUCUCCUCCAAAACUCUACAACAGAGAUCACGAAGCAGAUGACGGAGAAGACAUCAAUGGUUGGUUGUUGAGCGGUUGGCCACCGCAAGAUCCACCACAGCCUAUGCUUUUUUAUCACGCCGCCGCUGCUUGUCAAGAUUCGAGAAGGAGGAGAGCGGCGAGGAAGGAGGAGAGCCACGCGGAUGGUGGAAGCGGGGAGCAGUGGCGGCGAUUCACCUCCUGGCAAACCUACGGCGAGUCGCUGCGGUUUCGGCCUCGACGUUAUCGGCGGUGACUGCGACGGGGCGGAAGCGUGGAGUAGAACAACGAAGGAAAAAGAAGUCGAAUAUGGUGGUAAUGGAAGCCUUCGCCCGCCACCAAGGUUUCUCGUGUGUCCGCCUCAGCCGAGAAGUCGGUUAUGAUGAUAAAUGGCGAAGGAAACAUGAGGAGGAUUUGCCACUGGUGGUUGCCGUGAAGGCUACAGUCGCCACCCUGGUGCUGGAAGUUGCGGUGCUCGGGCUUGCUGGUGCUCGGUGUUGUUCAUGUUGUUGGUGUGGUAAUCGGACCAAUUGAUGCAGAAGGGAAGCCUUGUCGAUGGCUGCUAAGCCUUGCGGUGGCUGCUAAGACUUGCAGUGUCGCGAAUUAGCAAUUGAUUGCUGUUAUUUAAUUAGUUUUAGGUCUUUUGUUUCAGUUAAGAAUAUGGUUCUUUUAGUUAAGAAUGUUGA